rnacentral:rRNA from 1 species
AUGGAGUUCUUGAUGCAGCCGAUAAACAGAACACUGCUAGAGGAGGUCAAUGAUAACAACGGCACCGUGGAUCCUGUUCGGUUCCCGGUCAUCGCGCCGGCGGAGGUUGAGAUGCUAGCACCGGCGGCUUCAAGUGCAGACGGCCAAAUCUGUCGUGAGGGCGCCGCUGGAGAGCCUGCAAGUGCAGAUAAGGCUCAAUGUUCAGAGUACUCCAUAGAGCAAGUGGAUCCAAAAACUCAGGGUGGACACAAAGAGUGCGUGUCGGUGCUGCCGUGCUAUUUAGAGCUCCUUGCCCGGACAGGGUCACAGCCCUGA